rnacentral:rRNA from 1 species
GCAGCAGCCGCGGGAAUACGAAGGGUGCAAGCGUUAAUCGGAAUUACUGGGCGUAAAGCGUGCGUAGGCGGUUUGUUAAGUCUGUUGUGAAAUCCCCGGGCUCAACCUGGGAAUGGCAAUGGAUACUGGCAAGCUAGAGUGUGUCAGAGGAUGGUGGAAUUCCCGGUGUAGCGGUGAAAUGCGUAGAGAUCGGGAGGAACAUCAGUGGCGAAGGCGGCCAUCUGGGACAACACUGACGCUGAGGCACGAAAGCGUGGGGAGCAAACAGGAUUAGAUACCCGGGUAGUCCCUGUCUCUUAUAC